ensembl:lncRNA
GGACUGGGCUCUCUGGGAAGGCACAGAGGUGGGGUCUGGCGGGCAGAACCCAGGGUAUGCAGAUCCAAAAAAGGCUUGGUUCUGGUUCUUCUCCAUGAGAAUGGCAGCUCCCAUAUAGCGUCCUGAGUUUUACUCCAUUCUUCUUGGGGUGGCUUCUAUGCGUCCUGAAGAGGGCACGGCUGCCCCACUGGUUUUGCAUUUUCAAGAGAUGAUGGGCACGCUCAAGCUUCUCCUUGGCUGAUUCAUAGAAAAAGUCGUUGACGCCCUCCAGAGCCACAUCCUCUCCUUGGAAAUAGAAGCCCAGAGAGAGGGCUUCCCAGGUGGCUCAGUGGUAAAGAAUCUGCCUGCCAAAGCAGGAGACGCAGGAGAUGUGGUUCCAUCUCUGGGUUGGGAAGAUGCCCUCGAGUAGGAAAUGGCAAUCCACUCCAGUAUUCCUGCCUGAAAAUUUCCAUGGAUCCCAAAGGGAUCUUCCAGACCCAGGGAUCGAAACUACAUCUCCUGCAUCUCCUGCAGUGGCAAAUGGAUUCUUUACUACUAAGCCACCUGGGCAGUCCCUUUGUAUCACAGAACAGCUGAACCCUAUAGGCAUUUCCACUAUGACAACUGGCAGAAUGUUAGGUUUGGCCAAUAGAGGGUGCUGGAAAGACACUGGGAAGCCAGAACAAGAGCAAGGACUUUCUCCUUCAGGUGGAUUGGCUUGCAGCAGAGGCCUGCUUGUGUUCACCUCAGCAAUCCUCGCGGUUCGCUUGUGCGGCCCCUGCCUCCAGCAAGUUUCUUCACCACAAGUGGACUGUGGACUGUAGGUUCCUGCGACAGCCAUGCCCUCUCCUCCUCAGCCAAGGGUAGCAGCUAUUCUUAUAGUUCCUGCUUCUAGACCCCUGAGAACCUACUCUCCCAUUUUUAGUAGUUAGAUACCUUUUACUGGUCAACAAAGUUUAUAUUAAAUUUUCCCUGUUCAAAUUACUAUUAUGAUUUCUGUCUUGUGGUUGGUCCCAGCAGAAAUACCUAGCAGAUAAGGGAAAAAAGACAGAUGUAAGUUAAUGUAAAUUCUGUGAGAGAAUAGGCCACUAUAAUCACAGCCCCAAAUCCAAAAAAGUUUCAGGUGUAAAUCUACAGAAUUAUGUAUCAGUUUGGAUUGUGUUCAACUGCACAUAACAGAAACCUGACUCAGUGGCUUAACCAAAUAGAUUGAUUUUCUCCUGUACCAUGA